UACGUAGGGCGCAAGCGUUAUCCGGAAUUAUUGGGCGUAAAGAGCUCGUAGGCGGUUUGUCGCGUCUGCCGUGAAAGUCCGGGCUCAACUCCGGAUCUGCGGUGGUACGGGCAGACUAGAGUGAUGUAGGGGAGACUGGAAUUCCUGGUGUAGCGGUGAAAUGCGCAGAUAUCAGGAGGAACACCGAUGGCGAAGGCAGGUCUCGUGGGCAUAACUGACGCUGAGGAGCGAAAGCAUGGGGAGCGAACAGG
rnacentral:rRNA from 1 species